GAUGAAGAUAUUUAGGGGCACACGGUGGAUGCCUUGGCAUGGGAAGCCGACGAAGGACGUGGCAAGCUGCGAAAAGCUGCGGAGAGGCGCAAACAGCCUUUGACCCGCAGAUGUCCGAUACGGGGAAACCUGACCUGGGUUAUGCCAGGUCGGCCCAUCCUGAAUCAAAUAGGGAUGGAUGCAGGUAACCCGGGGAACUGAAACAUCUCAGUACCCGGAGGAAGAGAAAUCAACCGAGAUUGCGCGAGUAGUGGCGAGCGAAAGCGCACAAAAGCCCAAACCGCAUGUGAGCGUUAUACCCUCGGGGGGAUGCCACAGCGGGGUUGUUGGGCAUAUGAGUCUUAAAGCCCGAGUCUUUAAGCGGAGUAUGUGUCAUCGUUAUAGCAAAACGGCAUGGGAAGGCCGGCCAAAGAGGGUGAAAGCCCCGUAUGCGAAAUAGCGAUGCACGCCGAGUCAUAUGACCCAGAGUAUCGCCGGGCACGUGAAACCCGGCGAGAAGCAGGGGGGACCACCCUCCAAGGCUCAAUACUCUCCCAUGACCGAUAGCGAAUUAGUACCGUGAGGGAAAGGUGAAAAGCACCCCGAGAGGGGAGUGAAAUAGUACCUGAAACCGUGUGCCCACAAGCAGUCGGAGCAGAGCAUUUUGCUCUGUGACGGCGUGCCUUUUGUAGAAUGAGCCAGCGAGUUGCCGUAAUGCGGCGAGGUUAAGCUUUAUAAGCGAGCCGCAGCGAAAGCGAGUCUUUAAACGGGCGCUUUUAGUCGUAUAUGGCAGACGCGAAGCCGGGUGAGCUAUCCAUGGGCAGGCUGAAGCGGGGGUAAGACCCCGUGGAGGGCCGAACCCACUUCGGUUGAAAACGGAGGGGAUGACCUGUGGAUAGGGGUGAAAGGCCAAUCAAACCCGGAGAUAUCUCGUUCUCCCCGAAAUAGCUUUAGGGCUAGCCUCGGGCAUUUCCCCGGCGCAGGUAGAGCACCGGAUCCCAAAGGGGGCUUCACCGCCUGCCGAUGGGAGCCGAACUCCGAAUGGUGUCGGGAUAAAAAGCCCGGGAGUCAGAGCGUGUGGGCUAAGCCGCACGCUCAAAAGGGAAACAGCCCAGACCGCCCGCUAAGGCCCCCAAGUCCAUGCUCAGUGGCAAAGGAUGUGCGCCUGCCUAGACAACCAGGAUGUUGGCUUAGAAGCAGCCAUGCAUUUAAAGAGUGCGUAACAGCUCACUGGUCAAGUGGACAUGCGCCGACAAUUCACGGGGCUCAAGCAUGGCGCCGAAGCGGCGGGCUUAAAGAGGUUUUCUUUAAGCGGUAGGGGAGCGUUGCCAACAGCGAUGAAGCGCAAGGGCGAUCUUGCGUGGAGUGUUAGGCAAGUGAGAAUGCUGGCAUGAGUAGCGACAAGCGGCGUGAGAAACGCCGCCGCCGUAAGCCUAAGGUUUCCUGGGGAAGGCUAAUCCCCCCAGGGUCAGUCGGGAGCUAAGGUGAGGCAGACAUGCGCAACCGAUGCACGACAGGUCGAUAUUCCUGUACCAUCUCGUGUCGUUUUAUCCAAUGAGGCGACGGAGGAGGAUAGGCGGGCGGGGUUCUGGACGUCCCCGUGAAAGCGUGUAGGGUGUUCUGGCAGGCAAAUCCGCGAGAACAUAUGCCUGAGACGCGAGACGAAGCCAUUUUGGCAAAGCCGCCAAGUCCAUGCUCCCAAGAAAAACCCCUAGGGAGACACGAGGUGCCCGUACCAAAACCGACACAGGUAGGCGGGUAGAGCAUACCGAGGCGAUCGGGAGAACCAUGGUUAAGGAACUCGGCAUACUAGCCCCGUAACUUCGGGAGAAGGGGCGCCUUUCCUCGUGAAGCUUUUCACAAGCCAAAGCGAGGGGAGGCCGCAGUGAAGAGGCCCAAGCGACUGUUUACCAAAAACACAGGACUCUGCCAAGCCGCAAGGCGAAGUAUAGGGUCUGACGCCUGCCCGGUGCCGGAAGGUCACGCGGAUGCGUUAGGGUGUAUACCCGAAGCGCUGAAGCUAAGCCCCGGUAAACGGCGGCCGUAACUAUAACGGUCCUAAGGUAGCGAAAUUCCUUGUCGGGUAAGUUCCGACCUGCACGAAUGGCGUAACGACUUGGGCGCUGUCUCAACCAUGGACCCGGUGAAAUUGCAUUAUUCGUGAAGAUGCGAAUUACCCGCGGAAGGACGGAAAGACCCCGUGAACCUUUACUGCAGCUUGGCAUUGGGCGCAGGCGCGGUGCGUAGAGGAUAGGCAGGAGGCUAUGAAACCUAGGCGCAAGCCUGGGUGGAGCCGACCUUGGAAUACUGCCCUCAUCGCGCCGGCGUCCUAACGCAGGCCCCUUUAACGGGUCGUGCGGACCGUGUCAGGUAGGCAGUUUGACUGGGGCGGUCACCUCCUAAAGAGUAACGGAGGUGCGCGUAAGGUCCGCUCAGGAUGGUUGGCAAUCAUCCUUUUGAGUGCAAGAGCAUAAGCGGGCUUGACUGCGAGGCCUACAAGCCGAGCAGGUGGGAAACCAGGUUCUAGUGAUCCGGCGGCACAGCGUGGAAUGGCCGUCGCUCAACGGAUAAAAGGUACUCCGGGGAUAACAGGCUGAUCUUGCCCAAGAGUCCACAUCGACGGCAAGGUUUGGCACCUCGAUGUCGGCUCAUCGCAUCCUGGGGCUGGAGUCGGUCCCAAGGGUAUGGCUGUUCGCCAUUUAAAGCGGUACGCGAGCUGGGUUCAGAACGUCGUGAGACAGUUCGGUCCCUAUCCUCCGCGGGCGCAAGAGGAUUGAGGAGAUCUGCCCCUAGUACGAGAGGACCGGGGUGGACGGACCUCCGGUGCAGCGGUUGUCGACCAACGGCACUGCCGCGUAGCCGCGUCCGGAACGGAUAACCGCUGAAAGCAUCUAAGCGGGAAGCCGUCUCCAAGAUGAGUCCUCUUUUUGGUAAGGGCACUGGUAGACUACCAGUUUGAUAGGCCGCAGCUGUACGCACAGCAAUGUGUUUUUAGGCAAGCGGUACUAAUAGCCCGAGCUCUUCAUCAU
rfam:Cryptobacterium curtum DSM 15641, complete genome.